rnacentral:rRNA from 1 species
UACGUAGGGUGCAAGCGUUAAUCGGAAUUACUGGGCGUAAAGCGUGCGCAGGCGGUUUUGUAAGUCUGUCGUGAAAUCCCCGGGCUCAACCUGGGAAUUGCGAUGGAGACUGCAAGGCUGGAGUCUGGCAGAGGGGGUAGAAUUCCACGUGUAGCAGUGAAAUGCGUAGAGAUGUGGAGGAACACCGAUGGCGAAGGCAGCCCCCUGGGUCAAGACUGACGCUCAUGCACGAAAGCGUGGGGAGCAAACAGG